rnacentral:rRNA from 1 species
GACGAACGCUGGCGGCGUGCUUUACACAUGCAAGUCGAACGGUGAAGGUGGAGCUUGCUCCGCCGGAUCAGUGGCGAACGGGUGAGUAACACGUGGGCAACCUGCCCCUAACUUUGGGAUAACUACUCGAAAGCGUAGCUAAUACCGGAUAUGAAGUCUGUAGGCAUCUAUGGAUUGGAAAGUUUUUCGGUUAGGGAUGGGCCCGCGGCCUAUCAGCUUGUUGGUGAGGUAGUGGCUCACCAAGGCGACGACGGGUAGCCGGCCUGAGAGGGCGACCGGCCACACUGGGACUGAGACACGGCCCAGACUCCUACGGGAGGCAGCAGUGGGGAAUAUUGCGCAAUGGGCGAAAGCCUGACGCAGCAACGCCGCGUGCGGGAUGAAGGCCUUCGGGUUGUAAACCGCUUUCAGCAGGGAAGAAGCGAAAGUGACGGUACCUGCAGAAGAAGCACCGGCUAACUACGUGCCAGCCGCCGCGGUAA